UAAACCCUAACCAAAAACCUUACUCAUUCGGCUUGCUCUCUCCCUCUCGAUCACGAUUCACUGGAAAAAUGGCUUGGCGCAGUGCAGGAUCCCUCUCUCGCUCCGUCAUGUCCGCCGCCAGGGCUCCUUUGCUCCGCACCCCUCCGCCGCUGCCCCGCCUCCGUCCCCCGACUUCCUCUGCACCCCGCCUCCAGUCCCGCCGCCCCUCCUUGGCCCCUUCCAGGAAUUUUGGAGAAUUGGGAUGUGUUCAAUCAUUCUUGCCUCUGCAUAGCAUGGUGGCCACAGCCCGUCUUACUUCACACCUAACUGUUAAUGUGCGGGCUUGUUGCGAGCUGUCUCAUGGUACCGUCCGCCGUACUUGUCAGGAUCGCUAGUAGUCUCUUUGGAGGAAUGGAAAAGAUGGGUGAUGCACGUGGACUUUCAAUCAGCUAAAGGAGAGAGAAUGAUUCCACAUCGUACUUGAAAGGGCCAUGGAUUAGCGCAGCUGAGUGCAACACCCAAUUGAGGGAGUCAGAGAUUAGUUUUGUCCUGUGGGAGUCAAGAGGUAGGUUUUCUGAGUAGAAAAUCCUAAUAAAAACAUGUCGUCUUUUAUGCUGUUGCCAGGAAGAAACCUGUAAUUUUCUUAUAUGGUGACCCUGUAGGCACUUUAAUUGCUCAUUUUGACCAAUUCCUUUGGAUUGUGAGUAGUUUUGUGAUGAAUGGUGUUGAUAGCUUUGACAUAAUUUUAUUUGGUAAGUUUAUACGGUGACGA